rnacentral:rRNA from 1 species
UACAGAGGCCACAAGCGUUAGUCGGAAUCACUGGGCUUAAAGGGUGCGUAGGCGGGCUCGCAAGCGUCUUGUGAAAUCCCAUGGCUCAACCAUGGAAUUGCAGGGCGAACUGCGAGUCUUGAGGCAGGUAGGGGCCGGAAGAACAGUAGGUGGAGCGGUGAAAUGCGUAGAUAUCUACUGGAUGCCGAUGGGGAAGCCGUCCGGCUGGGCCUGUCCUGACGCUGAGGCACGAAAGCGUGGGGAGCAAACAGGAUUAGAUACCCUGGUAGU